rnacentral:tRNA from 1 species
GGCCUAUGGCUCAGUUGGUAGAGUGCUUGCCUUGCAUGCACAAGGCCCUGGGUUCAAUCCCCAGCACCA